UUUGUAUGCAAAAUUGCCUUUAUUUUCCAUGAACUCCAUUUUCAUACAUUUGUUUGUAUAAUAAAUAGACAUGAGAAACAGGCUGAAAAUUCUGUCCCCUUCCCAUGUUGAUUCUGCACCAUUUUUUUUCUGCGCACUGCAAACUUGUUUCAUAGAAUUUACAACUGAAAAUUAAAAACCAAAGCUUGACACAAGCUGAAAUCACUGCUACCGGCCCUUUGUUCACCUCAUAAGUUACAUACAUGUAUGAGCCGUGUUCGGUGUAGCAAACCCCAGAAACAAAAAUAUAUAUAUAGUAUUCACAGUUUAGAUAUUUACACUUUUUAAGAUUACAAAGGAUAUGGGCAGAAAAAUGAAGACGUUUCCACAAGAAACAAUCUUUCAAAAAGGUAGGAGACAUUUUCAGUACGUAAUGGACCUUUUUUCUCGUUUAAAUAAACCACCUUUUAACCCUUGUUAAACUUGGCAGAUUCCUUUUACAGAUCCCUGAAAAUAUCUUCUUAAAUACUCAGUCUUUUGUCUAAAAAAACUUAACAAAAAAAUGCAUCAUUAAAAGUAUUACAUUUGUGAAGUAAAAAAAAGAAAAUCAAAAUCUAUACAAUAGUUCAUGUACAAUAUUAACAUCAACGGUGUUGUGGGGGAAAAACACACAAAAAAAAAAAAAACUUAGAAUCUUCCCAGCUGAUGGAGGGCAAUGACUGACUUGGUCGAAAAAGGAAUCCGAUUGACUAGAAAUAACAGGAAGCUGAAGUGCAAGCCUCUAGUGCAUUGACGUCCAUGAAGAAGAUCCGCCUUCUUAGUGACGCAUUGUUAAAGAAACAACGUUAGAGGACAGACGGACAGACGGACCGAGGAAACACUGAUCAAAACACUGGUAGUAAAGCGGGGGUGGGGUGGGGGGGAGAGAGGGAUUAGGGGCUAGAGGAAGGGGUUAAGUUGUGAGAUGGAUGGAGGAAGAGGAGGUCUAGGUUUUGAAGAAGAGGUGUAGUUCUAAGUGGGGUGGAGGAAGAGCUAUCGGGGUUGGGAAAGGAGACUAGUUUUUAGAGGGGUGGAGCGAGAGGUAGGGUUUUUAAGAGGGGCUGGAGGAAGCACUACAAGAUGGAGCAGGUUCACUUGUGAGACAAUCAUCCAUAACACCUCAUUAGGAAAGAACAAACCAAUAGAUGAAUACAGACACACACCUCUUCAUGCCAAACACCACUAACAAUGGUGACAAUGGGCGACUAACUUGUGCAUGCAACUUAACAUUGCAGUCUGAGAAGACAAACAGACACACACACACACACACACACUCAAAUGGCACUUAACGUAAUUUCGUCAGCUUUUUUUUCUUUUUUUCAUACACCAUUUUCUUUUUCAAAAGUGACAAAUAUAUUAUUUCCUAACAAUGUAGGGUGUUAAAUUAGACUGGAGACUCCGAUUCAUCCGAUUCUGAAGAAUCGAACCCUUCAGCCACUAUAACCUACAGGGUUCUCCCAAGUCUCUUCUUUUUUUUAAUCCAAAAUGAAAAUACUUAACCUAAUCUCUCAAACCGUAACCUGGCAACAAGUGAACACUCAAUCAUGCACUCAACACAAAAAACAAUCACGUCUUUGAAAAAAACUAGAUCAUAAAACAUGUACAGAAGAAUCAAAAAACACUGGAUAUUCGUUAAUACCAUCAGAGUUGGUUUUAGUUUUGCACCUAGAAUCCUUACCUUUGCAUAAACUCAAAAAGGAAGCAGCGAUACUGGCUGGUGACGGUGAGAGAUAGCCUAACGUCCCGUACAAAAUGUAUGCGGUUGUGGUUGUUUUUCUUUUGUUGUGGAGGUUGUGGUGUAGUUUCAGAAAACGGGUGCAUCAGAAGAGGUAGAGCCAGAAACCAGCACGGUUUCUUCACGUGGAGGGCCAGUUGUACAACGUUUGAGCUUUUCCUUUCAAGCCCCAUCUUGGGUGCCACUGGUUGAAUCUGGGGAGCCUCUGGCUUCAGGCUUUGGGGGGGAUCUUCCUAAGAGCGUGCGUGUUUGUCUGUGACACCGCGUUUCUAAGCAGCUCUCCAUGCUAAGUCUAUGUGCUGUGGGACAUGUACCACAUGUGGUAAAGCUGACGUGAGUUAAGUUAAAGUGAUAGUACAUUCAAACGUACGGAAAACACAAACGGGCCUUACGGGUUCGGGAGACUGCUGAAUCGACUCUUAACCACGUUACCGAGUUCAUUAAGAAUGUGCCAGCAAGGCCUAGUAUCUCGGGCCAAUAUUUCAGUCAGUGGCAGUAGUCAAACAAUUUUCUUUUCUGUACCGUAGCACCAGAAAUCGUAAACAAUCUUUAGGGAAAUGUGUGUGCGCACGUGUGUUGGGGAGUCAAAAACAUACAACUGAUCCGUAGCCACAAAAUCUUUUCUUUUGGCAUGAGGAGUCUGUGUGAGUGUCGG
ensembl:lncRNA